GACGAACGCUGGCGGCGUGCCUAAUACAUGCAAGUAGAACGCUGAAGGAGGAGCUUGCUUCUCCGGAUGAGUUGCGAACGGGUGAGUAACGCGUAGGUAACCUGCCUGGUAGCGGGGGAUAACUAUUGGAAACGAUAGCUAAUACCGCAUAACAGUAGAUAUUGCAUGAUAUCUGCUUGAAAGGUGCAAUUGCAUCACUACCAGAUGGACCUGCGUUGUAUUAGCUUGUUGGUGGGGUAACGGCUCACCAAGGCGACGAUACAUAGCCGACCUGAGAGGGUGAUCGGCCACACUGGGACUGAGACACGGCCCAGACUCCUACGGGAGGCAGCAGUAGGGAAUCUUCGGCAAUGGACGGAAGUCUGACCGAGCAACGCCGCGUGAGUGAAGAAGGUUUUCGGAUCGUAAAGCUGUGUUGUAAGAGAAGAACGAGUGUGAGAGUGGAAAGUUCACACUGUGACGGUAUCUUACCAGA
rnacentral:rRNA from 1 species